AUCCUAGUACUACUCUCGCCCAAGCACGCUUAACUGCGGAGUUCUGAUGGGAUCCGGUGCAUUAGUGCUGGUAUGAUCGCACCC
rnacentral:rRNA from 1 species